rnacentral:rRNA from 1 species
AAGGAGUCUAACGCGCGCGCGAGCGAGAGGGCGAGAGGCCCAUCCGCGCAACGAAAGCGAAUGGCGGGACGCUCUCCCGCAGGGGGGCGGCGCCGCCGGCCGGACGUCCUCGAGGCGGACCGAGCCGGAGCGCUCGCGUCGGGACCCGAAAGGUGGUGAUCUAUCCGUGCGCGCGGCGAAGCCGGGGGAAACCCCGGUGGAGGCCCGUCGACGGUACUGACGUGCAAAUCGUUCGUCCGACGUGCGAAUAGGGGCGAAAGACCAAUCGAACCUCCUAGUAGCUGGUUUCCGCCGAAAUUUCCCUCAGGAUAGCGGCCAUCGCGGAAACGUUUUGACCGGUAGAGCGAACGACUAGAGGUACCGGGGCCGUAACGGCCUCGACCUAUUCUCGAACUCCGAACGGGCAAGGAGCCGGGGGUCGCCCCGGAUCGGACCCCGGACGUGAAGUCGACGAUGGUCGGUGGGCUGGUUUUGGUAAGCAGAACGGGCGAUUCGGGAUGAACCGGAAGCGGGAGAAGGGCCCGAGAUUGCGUCGACGCGGAUCCCGAAAAGGGCGUCGAUCCGUCGCGACAGC